UACGGGGGGGGCAAGCGUUGUUCGGAAUUACUGGGCGUAAAGGGCUCGUAGGCGGCCAACUAAGUCAGACGUGAAAUCCCCAGGCUCAACCUGGGAACUGCGUCUGAUACUGGAUGGCUUGAAUCCGGGAGAGGGAUGCAGAAUUCCAGGUGUAGCGGUGAAAUGCGUAGAUAUCUGGAGGAACACCGGUGGCGAAGGCGGCAUCCUGGACCGACACUGACACUGAGGAGCGAAAGCCAGGGGAGCAAACGGG
rnacentral:rRNA from 1 species